CCACACUCAUUCCAAUUAUUCAACAUCUUUCUAUUCUGCUUCUCCAUCUCAAUAAUCGAAGCCACUCUUAUUUUAAUUUCCACUUCAACUUCAGGUGCUUUCAACAUACCCUCUUUGCAAUCACUUCCACUCACCAAAUCCAUCUUCAACCAUUUUUUCAACUCCAUGUUUUGUGAUUCAAGAAUCACCUUCCAUGGAAUCUCACCUUUUCCAACAAGAUGUGACCCCAACAUCUUCCUUUGCCUCAGCUCCAACACUAAGCUUUGUUGUUUAAGGUUUUCUAAGAAUUCAUGGGGACACGAACAAUCUAGAUUAAAGGACUCGUUCCAAAAGGGUACUGAUUUGGUUGAAACAUUUUUGGUGUUGAGUUGAAUUCUUUUGUUGUUUCCUGUAGGAAGAUACAACCUUGCAAACAAGUUUUUCGUAGAUUUGAUGGAUUCAGUGUUUCUAGCUUGAAUUAUUCUCACUUCACAGCUGAAGUAAGCAUGGGAUGGAUCCAUUGAAAAUUUGAGAAUAGUAGGAAUGUGUCUAGUUAUGUGUUUUAGCUUGAAAAAUAGAGAGGAAAUUAAGAUGUUUGUUUGAGUUGUUCUAUGCGAUCCAUGUAUUAUAUAGUGUGAAAAAAGUGAAUAGGAAAUGGUUUUCAAUUUCCAUGAUGCGAUCCAUGUAUUGUAUAAGAUUGUCUAGUAUCUCAGUUGUACUUUUUGUGAAUAUUUUAAUACCAACUUAAUCUUAAAUCAUGCACAUGUGAUUUUGCUGAAGAUUGUAUCUUAUUAAAGAAAACCUUUAGAAUCUUGAUGGGGGAAGAUUUUCCAAUUUGGCUCUUGCAAGUCGCAAUAUUUUAUUGUGAAUAAACGAGGUUUCAUUUUUAGUGAACUAAAAGGCUUCAAUGCUGGCCUCAACUAGCCAUCACAAAAGCUAAGGCAUUCUUAUCAAACUCACUAGUUGUAAUAAUGUACAUAAACUAUAAAGCAUUGUUAUUACCAAUAUUUUAUCUUUUUAUAUUUAUUAGACUUGUAUAUCAUUGUGAAUAUAUCCUCACCUUGGAAAAUACUCUCUUCUAUUUUUUUAUUUUUUUCUCCCAUCUCUAUUUUCCUUUACUUUAGAAUAUUUUAAUCUAGUUUUGGUUAAUUUUAAAACACAUUAACCUAACUGAUAAUUUAAUUUGUUUAGCUAACAUAAUUAUCAAUUCUAGAAUCUAAAUUUUAUUAAAUAACAAACACUAUUUUAGCUUUUAAAUUGGAGUAUAAACGAAAGUACAUGUUAAUUAAUGUGUUUUCGACAUGAUUUGUUUUGUGCAUUUCAUAACACGAAGCUACAUUUUAUUUAAAUUAUUUAAUAUUAGUUUUAUUAAUGUAGUUGAUGUAAUUCUAUCAUAAAAAAAAAUUAUGUAAUUGUUUUAAUUGUAUAAAAAAAAUUAGGGAUUAUUUACUUUGUGAAAAUAAUUUCAAUUUUUAUUUUUAGAAAUUUGUGUUAAUUUUAUUUGUUAAUACGGAGAUAACAGAUUUUUGAAGUGAACAAUCGUCUACAUUUUUAGAAACAUUAAAGAUGUCAAAAAAAUUAUUUUUAUUAUUUUCUUAAACACAUAUUCAUUAACUAGAGUUUUAUAUUCUCUUCUUGACAAUAGUUAAUUUCAAGAGUCUUUCAUCAAGACAAAAUAAACACAUAUUUAAGAAAAUAAAAACACAAAAUAUUUUCAUAGAAUAAACGGGACCAUAGCGAUUGAAUUUUUUAUUUUUAGAUUUUUAAAAGCAAGUGUCUUAAUUUUUUUAAAUGUCCACCUAAUUGAGUCUAACUAAGUGAACAUAAUUUUCAUCAAUUUGAUUUGAAUUGUGUGGAAAAAUUAUAAAAGUUGAACCAUGAUCGGCUAACUUUUUGGUUCAUAUUUUAUUCUUUUCAAAAAAUGAAUCAAAUUGAUAUGUUACAUGCAUAACACCAUUCUCUCAAAUUUGUGAUGAUUCUCGGUCAAAUUCUCUCUGCAUGUGUCAUUGCAUUUGCGAAUUUUGUCUAUUUUUACGUUAAAAAUUUAUAACUUAAAAUUUUAAUAUACAAUAAAAUAUUAUAUUUAAUUUAUCAAUUAAUUUUAAAAUUUAGUCACUGCUAAAAUAUUAAGAUAUAUAUUUUUAAAUGAUUUUUCGCAUACAUAUUUACAAUAUAAAAAGUUUUUUCAUAAAAAAGUAAACUUCAAAUUUAUAUUUUUGUUAUUUUUAUUUUCAAAUUAUAUCAUUUAAAAUAUUUAAAUUUAUUUAAUUUAAAAUAAAAAAUAAAUUAAAUUUUGAUGGAGCAAUAAAAUGAUAAAAAUUUACGGUACUAAUUUUUGUUUUUACGACUAGAAACAAAAUAGAAGAGUGGUGUGAAAAAGAUUAGAUGAGAAGAGAGAUUUGAAAUGUAUUUUUCAAUUCAAAAAUGGAUCCGUAGCAUUUAUGUAUCUAUCUAUCUAUCUCCCACGCCUAAACAUUCACAUUCUAUUUCUAUUCAUUCAUUCAUUCACACACAAAAUGCCAGGAAGUACGCCGGUGAGAAAGCCACACACUAACACCUCCGAUCUCCUCACUUGGUCCGAAGUCCCUCCGCCUGAAUCCUCCUUCACCCCCUCCUCCACCCGCUCUCGCCAGGUUACUAUUUUUUCUUUUUCUCAUCUCUCUCUCUCUCUCUCUCUCUCUCUCAUGUAACUAACUACAUUCUCUCUCUCUCUUUCAAUCAUUCACUUCAUUCAUAUUACAGCCUUCUGAUAGAAUCAGUAAGGUUCUCAAUAGCGACCAGCUCACCGAAGAAGAAGCUCAGACUCUCACCCAAAGGUCUACAUCAUUUCCUAAAUAUUAACUCAUAACUCAGAUCAGAUCUUCUACUUUUUUCUUUCUUCACUUUCCUUUUUUUCAUCGUUCUUCGAUCUGAUUUAAUAUCUCUAUACUUUUCUGCAUAGAUCUGUUUCUUUAUUUGUAAUUCCAAGUAAUCUCAACAACACUGUGUUAGUAAUAUUAGAUAAAACUUUUUGCAUGAACUGUUCAAAUGAACCUACAUCAGCUUCCACAUUUUUGUUAUUAGUCUAUAUAUAUUUAUUAAAAAAAUAUAUGUACUUCUGCAUAAUUGAGCGCGUUGUACAUUAAUUUUUUGUUAUUGAUGUUAUUCAUGGGGUUUAUGUGUUCAAAUGAACAAAAAAAAUGUAUUUCAUUCAUAGUUGAUAGGUAUGAUACUUCCUUAAACCAUAUAUACAGUUCCAACAUAAAGAAUUAGAAUCUAAUGCGCUUGCAAAGUCAUUUUAGAGUAAAAACAGAUAAUUAAAGGAACCUCUAAUCAUAUACAUAUAGAAUCAAUUGUCCACUGUUCAUAAAUAAUAAUCAAAUUAAUUAGUUGAUGUUAGUGCAUAUACAUUUAUAUGGCAUAUUAAUCUUGCAUCAAGUUAAAUCAAAAAGCCUCCAAAGCUGCACCAAAUGCAAAUAUAUUACAAUCUUCAGCACAACACCAAACAUUGGGAUCAUGUCCAUGUUUGCAUCCACACUCAUUCCAAUUAUUCAACAUCUUUCUAUUCUGCUUCUCCAUCUCAAUAAUCGAAGCCACUCUUAUUUUAAUUUCCACUUCAACUUCAGGUGCUUUCAACAUACCCUCUUUGCAAUCACUUCCACUCACCAAAUCCAUCUUCAACCAUUUUUUCAAUUCCAUGUUUUGUGAUUCAAGAAUCACCUUCCAUGGAAUCUCACCUUUUCCCACAAGAUGUGACCCCAACAUCUUCCUUUGCCUCAGCUCCAACACUAAGCUUUGUUGUUUAAGGUUUUCUAGGAAUUCAUGGGGACACGAACAAUCUAGAUUAAAGGACUCGUUCCAAAAGGGUACUGAUUUGGUUGAAACAUUUUUGGUGUUGAGUUGAAUUCUUUUGUUGUUUCCUGUAGGAAGAUACAACCUUGCAAACAAGUUUUUAGUAGAUUUGAUGAAUUCAAUGUUUCUAGCUUGAAUUAUUCUCACUUCACAGCUGAAGUAAGCAUGGGAUGGAUCCAUUGAAAAAUUGAGUAGAUAGGAGAAAAAGUGUAAGAGAGAUGCUAAGAGUAGUUAAGAGGUUUGUUUGAGUUAUUCUAUGUAGUGUUGUGUGUAGUUUGAUGUAUUAUAUAGUGUGGAAAAAGUAAACUAUAAAUGCUUUCCAUGAAACUGCUAAUGCUCUUAUUCUUAAACACUAAUAUAAGAUAUUAGAUUGUGUAAAAUUGUCCAGUAUCUCAUUUGUGUUUUUUAUGAAUAUUUUAAUACCAACUUAAUCUUAAAUCAUGCAAAUGAGAUUGUGUUAAAGAUUAUAUCUUAAUAAAGAAAACCCUUAGAAUCUUGAAGGGAUAGAUUUUCCAAGUUGGCUCUACCAAGUAGCAAUAUGAUAUUCGGUUAUAAUUGAACAGUAUAUUGAUGCAAUCCAUAACUUGGGUUGGAACCCAAAAGGUAAGAUUAGAAUAAUCUUUGAAUGCUGGCCAUGACUGCCAUAAAAAAGGCUAGGAUCCUCAUCAGUCAUCCUUAUCUAACUAGUUUUAAUAAUAACCAUAAAUUUUAAAAGAUUGUAAAAUUUCCUACGUCUCAUUAAGCUUACAUAAAUAUUGUCUAUGAGAAAUCUUUCCAUCAUACUUUAUAAUGAUUGGCUAUUUUUCUCGAAAAUCAUUCAUUUAAGUUGUCUUGUAUUUCUUUUUAUCUAAACAUCUAGUUUUAAUACAUAUUUUUCGUGUUUUGUCUUUAAUUUUAUUGUUUGAUUGUUAUACUGUUUUGUUUGUUAUUUUAAUUCAACAUUGUUUAUUUUUACGUCUUAUUGUGAUGUUUUUUUUGGUUCAUUUUGACAAAUCAUGUUUCGAUCUAGUGAAAAUUUAAUCAAUGAUUUUUGUGUUUUCAACAUUACAACUUCAUAAACAUGAGUAUUCAAGACAAUACAAUUUUAUCAUAUUUGUUACAUUUUGUCAUUUUAUGUUACUAACUUAAGUGUUGUGAGUUUGUAGAUUUUUUUUUUUUGUGCUUUUGAAUUCUAUUGUUCUCUAAUGUAAUUUCUAUCAAUUUAAAUAAAUGAAUAUUUUCUUUUAAUAUAAAAAAAGGCAUUCCAUCAAAACAAAUGUGAGAAUUGACCAAGUUGGUCGAUAAGGUCUAUGGCCUAGUUUAGAUUAAACCAUAUUUUUUUAUAAAUAGAUAAAACUAUUUUUUUUUAUUUAAAGUUUAUGUUAAAAAAAUAACAGUACACAACAAAAGUCUUUUAUUUUGUCUUACAAGAGAUUGGUAAAUUUCACCACAAAAUCCUCUCGUUUAAUAAAUAUAAAUAAGGAUUUAGAUCAUCUCAUUUUCACUCCUACUUUUCUCUAUGUUUCAGGAGAGAUACAGAGACAACUUUUUUUUUUAUGAACUUUACUCACAAGAAUAACAUUUAAUAAACAACUAUUUGUAUCUAUCUAUUUCAUCUAACACUCUGGGAGAAAAUAAGAGUGAAAAAUGAGAGAAUCAAAAUCUUAUAAAUAAUUUUAUUUAUUUAUUUAUUUCUAUUACCAUUAUUAUUUUUGUCUUAGAAAAUAUUAAAUAUCACCAUAAUUAAGUUCAGUUAGAUGGUAAGUAAAGUCUAACUAAAAAUUGUUUCAGUCAAGAUCCAAACUUUCCAAACAAUUCAUCGUUAACUUUUUAUACUUCAUGUUCUCAAUUUGUCAUUAUCUAAGGGUUAAAAGGAAAAAAAAUAAUAAAAGAAUAAAAAUGUUAUAUGAAAUUAAGUUAAGCGACCGCAAGAGCAAUUAUGACUUUUUUUUUUAAAUGAAAGUUGAUAGUUUCUUUGCAUUUUCUGAAUUUUAGAUGAUUUCUUUUUCAUUUUUUAAUAAAACAUUCUUUUAUGAUUUUGAUAAUUGAUUAAUUGUUGAGUAAGAAAAUAAAAUGUCAAGUCAUACAUGCUAUUCUAUCAAAAUAUGUCUACUUUAACAAACAAAGAAUUUACCGGUGACUAUAUUAAAAGUAUUUUAAAAUUAUGAGGUUAAAUUAAAAGAAAAUCUUCUCUUAGAUGAACUAAAAUUAAAGUGGUCUCUAUUUACGAAGAAUUUUUAUAUAUUUAAACCUGCAUUUUUGCAUUAUAUAAAAUUCAUUUUUUUUUAAAUUGACUUGUGAAAUAAAAACCGUCAAUUUUAUAAACUCGUUUUAAGUCUUAAUUUUAAUCUAAGUGUGAUUUAACUAAACAUAAUCGUGUUACUAUAUAACUUUUCAUGGGGAGAAUUUCAGAUUUAAUACUCCUUUUUUAGAUCGGUUACUGAAAAUAUGAUUUAAACCUAUACGCGGUGGCCUUAAAACAAUUAAAUUGAAAAUGCUUUACAUUUUAAGCAGUUUUAACUAAAGCCGAUUUAAAAUGUUUACUUUAUAAGUCAGUUGUUUUACCAACCGACUUAAUAUGUUAUUAAAUCAGCUUUUUUUUAUGAACGCCAACUUGAAAGGUGUUUCAAAGUUUUAAAAAUUCACUUUGCUUACUUUUUUCUUAAUAUCAUUUUUUCUGUUACCUUUUCUCGGCAUCACCGUUUACUUCUCUCUGGACGCCACUCUUUUGUUAUUUUUUAUAAAUUUUCACUGUCAUUAUUUUUUUUCGUAUGUAUUUAAAAUCGAACAAAUAUAUCUAUUUAUAGACUACUUUGUUAGAAAAAUGGUCAUAUAUAUAUAUAUAUGUAUUUGUCAUUGUUAAAUGUGUUACGUGUUUAUGAGUUGGUGCUAUGAGUUCAUAUUUUUUAUUUUGUUCAUUCGUUAAAUAUGUUCUCGAGGUUAAAUAUUUACAUUUUUCUUUUGUUAAUUCUUAAGUCUUAGACCAUCAUUCAACAAGCACGUAGCAUCACCGCAUUUCCUCGGUAGAAAGACCAGGUUCCAGGUCCAUUUCCACAUCUCCAGCACUUAUCUUAUGGUCUAAUUCACCUCGCAACGAAAGGCACACUGUUCUUAUCAUAAUUACAAAAUUCAAGGUGUUUAUAUGUUGAAAUGGACAUAAGAAAAAAUUAUUUGAUUCAUAUUUGAUUGGUAUGAUACUUCCUUAACCCAUAUAAACUGUUCCAACAUAAAGAAUUAGAAUCUAAUGCGCUUGCAAAGUCAUUUUAGAGCAAAAACAGAUAAUUAAAGCAACCUCUAAACAUAUACAUAUAGAAUCAAUUGUCCACUGUUCAUAAAUAAUAAUCAAAUUAAUUAGUUGAUGUUAGUGCAUAUACAUUUAUAUCGCAUAUUAAUCUUAGCAUCAAAUUAAAUCAAAAAGCCUCCAAAGCUGCACCAAAUGCAAAUAUAUGACAAUCUUCAGCGCAACACCAAAUAUUGUGAUCAUGUCCAUUUUUGCAUCCACACUCAUUCCAAUUAUUCAACAUAUUUCUAUUCUGCUUCUCCAUCUCAAUAAUCGAAGCCACUCUUAUCUUAAUUUCCACUUCAACUUCAGGUGCUUUCAACAUACCCUCUUUGCAAUCACUUCCACUCACCAAAUCCAUCUUCAACCAUUUUUUCAACUCCAUGUUUUGUGAUUCAAGAAUCGCCUUCCAUGGAAUCUCACCUUUUCCAACAAGAUGUGACCCCAACAUCUUCCUUUGCCUCAGCUCCAACACUAAGCUUUGUUGUUUAAGGUUUUCUAAGAAUUCAUGGGGACACGAACAAUCAAAGGACUCGUUCCAAAAGGGUGCUGAUUUGGUUGAAACAUUUUUGGUGUUGAGUUGAAU
rnacentral:lncRNA from 1 species